CCUACGAGAGGCAGCAGUAGGGAAUUUUCGGCAAUGGGGGGAACCCUGACCGAGCAACGCCUCGUGAAGGAAGCAGGAAUUCGUUCUGUAAACUUCUGUUAUAACGGAAGAAAGACGGAUGGAGGAAAUGACAUCCGAGUGCCGGUACUUUAUGAGAAAGCCACGGCGAACUACGUGCCAGCAGCCGCGGUAAUGCGUAGGUGGCAAGCGGUAUCCGGAAUUAUUGGUCGUAAAGAGGGAGCAGGCGGACGAAAAGGUCUGGGGUGAAAGACUGAAGCUUAAAUUCAGUAAGCCAUAGAAACCGGGCAGCUAGAGUGCAGGAGAGGAUCGUGGAAUUCCAGGUGUAGCGGUGAAAUGCGUAGAUAUAUGGAGGAACACCAGUGGCGAAGGCGACGAUCUGGCCUGCAACUGACGCUCAGUCCCGAAAGCGUGGGGAGCAAAUAGGAUUAGAUACCCCAGUAGUC
rnacentral:rRNA from 1 species